UACGUAGGGAGCAAGCGUUGUCCGGAAUCAUUGGGCGUAAAGCGCGCGUAGGUGGCCUCAUAAGUCCGCUGUGAAAGUCAAAGGCUCAACCUUUGAAAGCCGGUGGAUACUGUGAGGCUAGAGUACGGAAGAGGCGAGUGGAAUUCCUGGUGUAGCGGCGGAAUGCGCAGAUAUCAGGAGGAACACCAAUAGCGAAGGCAGCUCGCUGGGACGUUACUGACACUGAGGCGCGAAAGCGUGGGGAGCGAACAGG
rnacentral:rRNA from 1 species